UAGGGAAUAUUGGACAAUGGGCGCAAGCCUGAUCCAGCCAUGCCGCGUGGGUGAUGAAGGCCCUAGGGUUGUAAAGCCCUUUCGGCGGGGAAGAUAAUGACGGUACCCGCAGAAGAAGCCCCGGCUAACUUCGUGCCAGCAGCCGCGGUAAUACAGAGGGUGCGAGCGUUAAUCGGAAUUACUGGGCGUAAAGCGCGCGUAGACGGUUUUGUAAGUCAGAUGUGAAAUCCCUGGGCUCAACCUGGGAACUGCAUUUGAUACUGCAUGGCUAGAGUAUGGAAGAGGGAAGUGGAAUUUCCGGUGUAGCGGUGAAAUGCGUAGAUAUCGGAAGGAACACCAGUGGCGAAAGCGACUUCCUGGUCCAAUACUGACGUUCAUGUGCGAAAGCGUGGGGAGCAAACAGGAUUAGAUACCCUGGUAGUCCACGCCAUAAACGAUGACAACUAGAUGUUGGGAGGGUCUGCCUCUCGGUGUCGCAGCUAACGCGUUAAGUUGUCCGCCUGGGGAGUACGGCCGCAAGGU
rnacentral:rRNA from 1 species